rnacentral:rRNA from 1 species
UACGAAGGGGGCUAGCGUUGCUCGGAAUGACUGGGCGUAAAGGGCGCGUAGGCGGCGUGCUAAGUCGAACGUGAAAUCCCCGGCUCACCCGGGAACUGACGUCCGAGACUGGCAUGCUUGAAUCCGGGAGAGGGAUGUGGAAUUCCAGGUGUAGCGGUGAAAUGCGUAGAUAUCUGGAGGAACAUCGGUGGCGAAGGCGGCAUCCUGGACCGGUAUUGACGCGUGAGGCGCGAAAGCCAGGGGAGCAAACGGG